UUCAAUUAAGAAUUAAUUAAUUUAUAUAAUUAUAUUAAAAUAUUGGGUCAAAGGAUAAUUAUCUUAAAUAUUUAUUUAGGAUAAGAUUGAAUUUAUAUAUAUUAAUGGCGAAUCUGGAAAGAGACGCGUGGCUGGACACCUGUUGGUUAGGGAUUGGGUUUCGUCCCUAUAAUUAGGACGAUUGAUCAACCUGGAGAAGAAGAAACAGAAAUAAAGAGAAGAAAAGAAAGAGAGAAGAAAGAAGAAAGAAAGGAAAGAAAAGAGAGGAAAGGAAGGAAAGAAUAGUGGACGCUAAAAGGUAUUUGAUAGUGUAAAGGAAGAUUGAGGUAUUAAAGUUAAGGUGACAUGUCGAGACCAGCGCGUGGGGUAGGCACAAAACACUUUUAUUGGUGUAUUUUUUUAAUGUAAAAAUCGGCAUUUUUGGUCAAUACCUUUUGUAAUAAAAAUAGAAGCUCCAAUAAUUAUUUUAGUACCCUUAUUUAUAUAUUUCUUCCGCUUGCGUUUAUUAAUUUGUUUAAAGAAUUGGCCGGAGGUAACUUCAGUUACUGGCCAUCACGAUGCCUAACCCUUGGGUACGGGGAACGGGUCGUGACAGUUCCCGUUGGAGAUAGUGGUCAGAUGUUGUUGGAGGACACGAGGUGUGGAAGGAUAAAAAAGGACCCACCUACCGAAGUGUUGCCACCCACUGGCGGCAACGAAGGUGGUGGCUGGUGGUUGGUGGUAACGGUGGGUAGUGGCCGAAGGUGGUAUGUGAGAGGAGAAAGUGAAAACUUAUUUUAAAACAAGUGAAAACACAUUUUUUGUGUUUUCAAAAAUUUUGAAAAAUUUGAAUCAAUUUCAUUUU